AUUGAACGCUAGCGGGAUGCUUUACACAUGCAAGUCGAACGGAGUGGCGGACGGGUGAGUAAUAUAUCGGAACGUGCCCAGUAGCGGGGGAUAACUACUCGAAAGAGUGGCUAAUACCGCAUACGAUUGAAGCAGCGGAUAUAGGAUUAGCUCGUUGGUGGGGUAAAGACUCACCAAGGCAACGAUCCGUAGCUGGUUUGAGAGGACGACCAGCCACACUGGGACUGAGACACGGUCCAGACUCCGACGGGAGGCAGCAGUGGGGAAUUUUGGACAAUGGGGGAAACCCUGAUCCAGCCAUCCCGCGUGUAUGAUGAAGGCCUUCGGGUUGUAAAGUACUUUUGGCAGAGAAGCGGUAUCUGCAGAAUAAGCACCGGCUAACUACGUGCCAGCAGCCGCGGUAAUAC
rnacentral:rRNA from 1 species